AGUGAUUGUCUUGUGCAUAUGCUGCUCAUGCCAAUCAGUUUUCUUCAGCAGAGAAGAGAAAUGGAGAUGCUGAAGGGAGUGCCAGCAGCAGCAAGGCUGCUGAAGGGAUAAAAGCACAAAGGACUCUGUGAAAUGAGUAAUUCUGUGGUGGACAUACAAUAGUUUGGUGAUUCUCUGUUAUCCUUCUGCUGCUGUCAGCACAGCAAAUCAGCUGAAAUGAAAUGGACAGAAAUAGUGUUUCAGUGACUGAGCUCCCAAAUUUGAGCUGAUGCCAGCAGCACCC